UACAAAGGAUGUUAGAUGUUAGGUUCCUG
rnacentral:piRNA from 1 species